UCCUAAAUAUGCUAUAUUAAGAGUGUAGUUUUUGUUCGGUAAUAUAUGUGUAGCUGUUUCAAAUAAACAUCUUCCACAUUUUCACCUUUCAAGUAAUUGCAAAAUAUGUGUAUAUCACAAGGAGGAUUUUUAUUAUGGAAACAGGUACAGUAAAAUGGUUUAACUCAGACAAAGGUUUUGGAUUUAUCACUGCAGAAAACGGUAACGAUGUAUUCGUACAUUUCUCAGCUAUCCAAGGCGACGGAUUCAAAACUUUAGAAGAAGGUCAAGCAGUGACUUUCGACGUUGAAGAAGGCCAACGUGGUCCUCAAGCUACUAACGUUAACAAAGCAUAAUUAACUUAACAUUAGUAAAUCCAAACCCUGACGAUUAGUCGUCAGGGUUUUUU
rfam:Enterococcus haemoperoxidus ATCC BAA-382 genomic scaffold acvJN-supercont1.2, whole genome shotgun sequence.